rnacentral:rRNA from 1 species
UACGUAGGCAGCGAGCGUUGUUCGGAGUUAUUGGGCGUAAAGAGCGUGUAGGCGGCCCGAUUAGUCCGCUGUGAAAGUCCAGGGCUCAACCCUGGAAUGCCGGUGGAUACUGUCGGGCUAGAGUCCGGAAGGGGCGAGUGGAAUUCCUGGUGUAGCGGUGAAAUGCGCAGAUAUCAGGAGGAACACCAAUGGCGAAGGCAGCUCGCUGGGACGUGACUGACGCUGAGACGCGAAAGCGUGGGGAGCAAACAGG